UACGUAGGCAGCGAGCGUUGUUCGGAAUUACUGGGCGUAAAGAGUGUGUAGGCGGUGCUCUAAGUUCGGUGUGAAAUCUCUCGGCUUAACUGGGAGGGUGCGCCGGAAACUGGAGUGCUCGAACGUGGGAGAGGAAAGCGGAAUUCCUGGUGUAGCGGUGAAAUGCGUAGAUAUCAGGAGGAACACCUGCGGUGUAGACGGCUUUCUGGACCAUAGUUGACGCUGAGACACGAAAGCGUGGGUAGCAAACAGG
rnacentral:rRNA from 1 species